rnacentral:rRNA from 1 species
AUUGAACGCUGGCGGCAGGCCUAACACAUGCAAGUCGAACGGUAACAGGAAGCAGCUUGCUGCUUCGCUGACGAGUGGCGGACGGGUGAGUAAUGUCUGGGAAACUGCCUGAUGGAGGGGGAUAACUACUGGAAACGGUAGCUAAUACCGCAUAACGUCGCAAGACCAAAGAGGGGGACCUUAGGGCCUCUUGCCAUCGGAUGUGCCCAGAUGGGAUUAGCUAGUAGGUGGGGUAACGGCUCACCUAGGCGACGAUCCCUAGCUGGUCUGAGAGGAUGACCAGCCACACUGGAACUGAGACACGGUCCAGACUCCUACGGGAGGCAGCAGUGGGGAAUAUUGCACAAUGGGCGCAAGCCUGAUGCAGCCAUGCCGCGUGUAUGAAGAAGGCCUUCGGGUUGUAAAGUACUUUCAGCGGGGAGGAAGGGAGUAAAGUUAAUACCUUUGCUCAUUGACGUUACCCGCAGAAAAAGCGCCGGCUAACUCCGUG